AGGGAGGCCGGGAGGGGUCCCUGGGCGGGGAGUUGCUGCGCAUCUGUUGUGUGUGUGCGUCUGUCUGUCUGUUCAGGUCUGUUUUAGGCUGUGUCUGCCUGUCUCUCUGUCUGGGUCUCUUUCAGGCUGCGUCGGUCUGUCUGUCUGGGUCUGUUUCAGGCUGUGUCUGUCUGUCUGUCUGGGUCUGUUUCAGGCUGUGUCUGUCUGUCUGUCUGGGUCUGUUUCAGGCUGUUUCUGUCUGUCUGUCCGGAUCUGUUUCAGGCUGUGUCUGGGUCUGUUUCAGGCUGUAUGUGUGUCUGCUCUUUGCUUCUGCUCCUGGCUCUGUGUGUAUUUCCCGGGUCCUGUGGCCCUCUUUG
rnacentral:lncRNA from 1 species